rnacentral:rRNA from 1 species
CCAGGAGUAAGAUCCUGUGCUUUUCUUUUCUCUUCAAAGGAUUUGGAAUAAGAGGUGGGUAAGGACGGUGCCAGCCGCCGCGGUAAUACCGGCGCCUCGAGUGGUAGUCGAUUUUAUUGGGCCUAAAACGUCCGUCGCCGGUCUGGUGCAUUCGUGGGUUAAUCAACCCGCUCAACGGGUUGAAUUCUGCGAGCACGGCCAGACUAGGGACCGGGAGAGGCGUGGGGUACGCUCGGGGUAGGGGUAAAAUCCUGUCAUCCCGAGCGGACCACCUGUUGCGAAGGCGCCACACUAGAACGGAUCCGACGGUCAGGGACGAAGCCUAGGGGCACGAACCGGAUUAGAUACCCGGGUAGUCCUAGGUGUAAACGCUGUGGACUUGGUGUUGGGAGCCUCCAGAGGGCUCUCAGUGCCGUAGCGAAGGUGAUAAGUCCACUGCCUGGGGAGUACGGUCGCAAGGCUGAAACUUAAAGGAAUUGGCGGGGGAGCACUGCAACCUGAGGAUUGUGCGGUUUAAUUGGAGUCAACGCC